UGAGCUUGUUUUGGCACAAUAAACUAAAAUUGGAUUAAUGCAGAAAGGAUUAGCAUGGCCAUUGCACAAGGAUGUCACACAAAUUUGUGAAGCGCUCCAGAAUUUG